rnacentral:lncRNA from 1 species
AUGAUCUGUUGAUAACAAAUUAAAGCCACUGUACCAAGCCAUUAGUUCACUUUGUUACUUCCAGCUUUCCAGUUAUCAAAAAAAUGGAGUAAGGUCUUGAAGACUAAGACCUGGGAUGGGUAACUUCUGCUGAGCUGACAGUCUGGUACAGCAGGAGACCCAGAUGUCAGGUGGGACUGAAGAAACUGGACAACUUGUGGAUAGAAUGAGGGCCUCGUGGAUAAAUUUGAGGAUAAGAAAAAAAAAUACUGUGAAUGUGUACAUUAUCUACUAUAUAUAUACGUAAAAGACAAAGUGUGCAAAUUAUGGAUACAUUUAUAGAAAUUGCUAAAAAUGGUAAUGUAGAUCUAUAUUUAUUGAAACGGAAAGAUGCAGAAGAUGGAUUUCUGUGUGAAAAAUAGUUCAUUUAAAAAACUAUAUUCUCUGUGAAUUUGAAGACUCUGCAUUCCAAGUACUGUUGAAUUUCUCUGAGUGCUGAAUACAGUUAAUUUUUAUGCUCUUUUAUUUACCUUUUUAUGGAAACUAAAUUUUUUUUUUACAAUGAGAAGUCAAUAUUUUACCAUCGCAAACAGCAAUAAAACUCUUCCGUUAUAAUAAGAGGGAGUGCAGGUUGCAGAGGGGAGGCGAGGAUGGUGGCAGUUGCUGGAUGCAGGAAGGGACCAAACAGAGCAAGUGUGAGAAGGUGUUGCAUGGAAAGCAAGGCAUUAGCCCAGGGCCGUAGAAGAAAGAGAAAUGAGAGAGGGGCGGCAAGAAUGGCUAAGCCCCUGAAGGCACUGCCUGACCUUGUACCAGGCCUGUGAAACGACACGUUCCCAACAAGGAAGUAACCGGACUCGCAAGGGCUCUUCAUGUAUCCAGGUAUUUACAAGGGUAGCUAAAUGCAGCCGUUACAGUUUCCUUGGAAAGUCACCACCCAUCCUCUCUCUGUGUGAUUUCUCAACUUUGCCCAGAAUAAAUAGCUGCAAAUAGAAGUGGGAGUUUGCCUG